CCAGGUCAUACUUUGUACGUUCAGGAGAUGUAAAAGCACAUAUGGAAAAAGUUUUAUUUAAAUGGAUUCACAACAACCACUUGAAGCAAUGGUCAUGGGACUUAGAAGAGACAGACAGAAAAAGAGUUCAGCAGGAAAGGUAGUGGGUGUAAGCAUUUUAGGGUUGAUUGUAUUAAUGGGGGGUUGUAUUUAGGGUUGGUUGUAUUAAUGGGC